CAAGAAGAAGUAAUUCCAUCUAAUUGGAUUAGUGAUAAAACUGUUUGUCGGCUUCCAGAGUAUUUUCGAAAAGUUAUAUGGCCUCCAUGGAUAUGAUGGGCAAAGAUGGAAAAAUAUGAACACUAAUCUAUAUGACGUUGAAAAAGAUAUACCUUCAUAAGUUGUAACACUUUUCCAUUCAUUAUUUAUUUUUUAAAUCUUCCCUUUUUGUUGUUUUUUUUAUAUAUUUUUUUAUUUACAGCUUCUUAUAUUGUAUUCAAUGG